CUUAAGGUAAGUUUAGAGUUCACUUCACGUCGAACCAUCACGUGAGGAUGAAACUCAGUCAACGCCAAUGAAUGACUAUAUUUUAAAAAUAAAAACAUGUUUUAUGGGUAUAUGUCGUUUUAACAUCCUUGGCGGACUCGAUUGGAUGCUCGGGCCAAGGUGUUACCAAGUAUGAGUUUUGGCAUAAGUCAAGUUUUUAAGAGAAUCAUAAGCCUUGUUGAUUAUUUUGAUGAAAUGUAAUUGUUUUAUAGGAA
rnacentral:lncRNA from 1 species